AAAACCAAAAAAAAAAAAAAAAAAAAAAAAAGCUUAUAAUAUCAGAGAAUCCCAGAUCCUGACAUUGGCCCAAAGUCUCCAGAGAAGAUUAAAGGACACCUGGCUGUUUACACAACGCUAACCAGGGGGCAAGAUGCCCCAAUACAUACCUGCUGCCAGGACCUGGCCCAGACAGUGGACAAGUGACAGGACACUGGAAAAUUCAUUGUACCCCUUUUGCCUAGACAAAAUAAGGUCAGUCUUUUCCAUGUCUCUCUUCCACAGAGAGGAAAAAUUCUCACCUGAUAGGCCUGGCAAAGAUUGAUGCUGUUCUUUGAUGCCUCUACUUGCUAAUAGAGACUUGGGUAUGGCUAACUAUGUAUGAACUGGACCCUGUCAUUUUUAAUAGAUUCAAAAACUGUAUAAAAUUUAUACUUCUCAGAUUUCUGAUAUUAUUAAUGGUUAAAUUAUAUGGCCAGCUUAAUAGCACAUUUAAUGAAGUUCUGAUAAGCUGAUAGAACAGUGACUACCUGCUGUUCAGUCACAAGCUCAAGGUUUUUAUAUUUAUUUUAGUUGUCAUCUAAAUAUAAAUUUAAAGGGCUUUUCAUCAGGCCAAAGGUACCUCUGUCCAAGCUAUACCUGACUCACUGGACAGAAGAAAAUGUACAAGCUUCUAACUCAAACCUUUAGUUUUUGCUAGGACUCAAAAGGUGUGAGUCUAUUCCUGCUGUUUUACAGAUGCCUGAUAUAUGCUUUAUCUACAAUAUAGAUUUUGGUACAGAUUGACAAUACUAAUAUGGCUAAAACUUUUAAGUCCUUUUGUAUAAUAAAGUCCAUAUACGCUUCAGAGGAUCAAAAGUCAUAAGGCUUGGAUUCGCUUCUCACAGGUCAAAAGGACUCCAGACACAUCCGGGCAUCAGUUGCUGACUACAGCCUGCACCUAAAGACUGAGAACUCUAGAUUUGCUAUGGAUAUGAACCAGUCCAGCCAAUGUGAACACUCACUGUUUCUUCAACAGAGUCUACCAACCAGAUGCUUCUGAUAAAAACUCCACUGCCUGAAUUCCCUCUUUGCUCUUGACUAACAUUUCAGCCUACUUGGGCCCCUGAUUACUACACCCCAAAGUCAGCAGGAAGUAAUACAAAAAAGAAUACGUCA